rnacentral:rRNA from 1 species
CUGGGCGUAAAGAGCUCGUAGGUGGUUUGUCGCGUCGUUUGUGUAAGCCCGCAGCUUAACUGCGGGACUGCAGGCGAUACGGGCAUAACUUGAGUGCUGUAGGGGAGACUGGAAUUCCUGGUGUAGCGGUGGAAUGCGCAGAUAUCAGGAGGAACACCGAUGGCGAAGGCAGGUCUCUGGGCAGUAACUGACGCUGAGGAGCGAAAGCAUGGGUAGCGAACAGGAUUAGAUACCCUGGUAGUCCAUGCCGUAAACGGUGGGCGCUAGGUGUGAGUCCCUUCCACGGGGUUCGUGCCGUAGCUAACGCAUUAAGCGCCCCGCCUGGGGAGUACGGCCGCAAGGCUAAAACUCAAAGGAAUUGACGGGGGCCCGCACAAGCGGCGGAGCAUGUGGAUUAAUUCGAUGCAACGCGAAGAACCUUACCUGGGCUUGACAUACACCAGACCGGGCCAGAGAUGGUCUUUCCCUUUGUGGUUGGUGUACAGGUGGUGCAUGGUUGUCGUCAGCUCGUGUCGUGAGAUGUUGGGUUAAGUCCCGCAACGAGCGCAACCCUUGUCUUAUGUUGCCAGCACGUGAUGGUGGGGACUCGU